rnacentral:rRNA from 1 species
GUCGAGAAUCUUUCACAAUGGGGGCAACCCUGAUGGAGCGACGCCGCGUGGAGGAUAAGGUCUUCGGAUUGUAAACUCCUGUCAUGCGUGAACAAGGUUGCAGGGAUAAUACCUCUGCAAAUUGAUAGUAUCGCAAGAGGAAGAGACGGCUAACUCUGUGCCAGCAGCCGCGGUAAUACAGAGGUCUCAAGCGUUGUUUGGAAUCACUGGGCGUAAAGGGUGCGUAGGUGGCGUGGCAAGUCAGAUGUGAAAGCCCGGGGCUCAACCUCGGAACUGCAUCCGAUACUGCCAUGCUGGAGUACUGGAGAGGUGACUAGAAUUCUCGGUGUAGCAGUGAAAUGCGUAGAUAUCGAGAGGAAUACCAAAGGCGUAGGCAGGUCACUGGACAGUUACUGACACUGAGGCACGAAGGCCAGGGGAGCGAACGGGAUUAGAAACCCGUGUAGUCC